UACGUAGGGGGCUAGCGUUGUCCGGAUUUAUUGGGCGUAAAGAGCGUGUAGGCGGCCAAGUAGGUCCGGUGUGAAAACUCGAGGCUUAACCUCGAGAUGUCAUCGGAAACCAUUUGGCUAGAGUCCGGAAGAGGAAAGUGGAAUUCCUGGUGUAGCGGUGAAAUGCGUAGAUAUCAAGAGGAACACCUGAGGUGAAGACGGGUUGCUGGGCUGACACUGACGCUGAGGCGCGAAAGCUAGGGUAGCAAACGGG
rnacentral:rRNA from 1 species